AUGCGGAGGGAUCAUUUC
rnacentral:rRNA from 1 species